UGUCUAGUCCAAAAAUCGUCCGUCUUAGACAGUUUAGUACAAAUUCAAACGAGUUAAUCCAAAUUAUCACCGAUUCCAAAAUUCCCUAAUUUUCUCACUACCAAAGUUACCCUUCAUAGUUAUAAUCGUUCUGAGUUCAUUUGAUUAAUCUCAGAUUUCAUUUCAGAAGAGAUUCAGAGCAAGAGCGAUAGAGGGGUCGAGACAAACUCUUUUUUUCUUCCUUUCAUUCUCCAUUCUUUUCUUUGAUGCAGGAACUGCAGCUCGUGCAUGAUAACUAUUCAAACAAAUAGUGAAUUAGAUGAAUAGAGGAAGGUGUUUUAGUUUUGUUUGUAUGGGUUAGGGUUUCCCGAGAAAAGAUGAAACAAAAUCAGAGUUUGGAUUUCCUGGUUUUGAUGAUUUGAUUUCUUAGAGUAGUGAUGAAGAAUUAGAUUGUGGUGUUGUUGCUGAUAGAUGAAUUAGGAAUCGAGAAGAUACAGAGAUGGAAGAACAUGGAUUUAGUUGAAGAAUUAGGAUUUUGGAAAUUGAUUGAAGAUAUGACUUAGUGAUGGUAAAGAAGAAAUUAAAGACCAAGUUUGAUGACUUGAGAAAUGAAUUGAAUUAAAUUGGAGAAAGAGCAAAGAAAUAAAAAGUCGGAGAGAAUGAGGAGUUACGAUUACUCUAGGGUUCAGAGAACUGAUGGUGAUGGUGAUAAUUCGAGUGAUUGUGCCAAUCUCAAAAUAAAAGUUAAUUAAGAGAAUCUGAAUUUAGAGUUUUACAUUUGAUUUAUAUGCUUGUAUGGAAUUGAAUUGAUAUGAUUGAUUAUUUAUGGGUGUUAACUAGAAAUGAAGUGGACAUGAUUGUGUAAAGUUGAAUUGUGGGUUCCUUGUGGAACUGAGAUUCAUUGUUUUGAGAUUGUGAUGAAUUGAACCUAAAUUAGGUAUCUGUUAAACUGACAUAGGAGAAGGUUAUGAGAAUUAGCAAUAAUGAUGUCAAUGGUGCAGUUACAAGUUGAAUAUAAUUGAGAGAAAUAGAAGUAGAAUUUAGGAUAUAUAGUGGUCGUGUGAGCUGAAGUAUAUGUGUGACGGAGAAGGAGCUAUUAUGGUCUGAUGAUGAGCUGAAUUGGGUGGGGUUUCAUGAAUGAAUGUGAUUAUAGGUGAAGAUAUGGUGUUGAAUGAAAUUGUUAUGUUGGUGGUGGUUCUGUAUAAUUUAUUAGAACUAUUUUCUCAGGCUUGAAGAGGAAUUUAGGAAGUAUGGAUGUGAAAAGAAGAUUUCUUGGAAUUGGAUUUACAGGUGUAAUGGUUGUGGUGUUGUUUGUUUGAGUAUGUUGAAGUGAUAUGCUGUUGUAGCUAAUGGAAUUGGUGGAUAUAUUGUAAUUAAACCGAACUAACAACAUUGCAGGAAAUGUUGGAGUUUGGAAUAUGCAGUGAACAUUCAAUAAGAAGAGAAGUAGAUAUAGUAAUUCAGUUAGAAGAGAGAGUUUUAAAGUUGAGGAAUGAGUUGGUUAUGGAUCUGUUGAUAAAGAUGAGAUUGGUUGAGAGUUUAGAAAGGUUAUGUGGUUGCUCAAGGGAAGAUGAUUGGGUUGUGGUGUUGUGUUGCAAAGCUUGAGGCUGGAAAUGCAUCACAAAAACACAUAUGUGGCACAAAAGGUACAAGUGUACCUUGUAUUGCAUCAUAUUGGCGCAUCAGGACCAUUGGAUUUGUGAAACUGGUACUGGGGAAACUGGUGUUGGUCAGUUCAAAGUGCCUCCUCUUCAUGAUGUAAUCAUUAUGCAAUUUCAAGACCAACAAACUAGUUGGACCUCGAAGAAUCUUGCUGCAGCUAAUGGGGUACCGGUGGACACAUUUAACCGGAGGUUUAACUUUUGGGAAUCCUUUCAGAAUUACUUUUGGAUUUUGAUAAUCACAUAUUUACUUUUGUGGAUGGAGCAUCCAAGAAUGACGCUAACAAUGCAAACUAUGAGGAAGCAGCUGAUGAGGAUGGAGAGAGAUUCAUGGCUUCAGUUGAGGAGCAAAUACUGAAAGAGAUGAAUGUAUGUAUAUGAGGUUGGACCUAAUUCAAGUUACGUAGGAUAGUGGAAUCACCCACGGAGGCUGCUAACAAUUGCAAAUGGUGAAAGUUCGAUACUAGGUUCUUGGAGGUUUUUCAAAAUCCAUUUAUCAACCAAUUGUCAUGUUUUUGUAUGUAGGAAAUGCCAAGCAUAUGUAAGUUAAUGAAUGCCCAAUUCCAAAUUUUUAAGGGUUUACAUAGUUGUUCAGAUUCUUAAUGUGUACAUAAUUGUAAACCUGUUGAUUGUUAAUAUGUACAUCGUUAUACACGUUUUGAUUAUGAUAUAGAACUGUAUGAUACCCAUAUUUUGCUUCAUUUAAUUUAUUUCGUUGUUGGAUGUGAUACAUGAUUACAUGAGCAAAAAUAAAUCAUUACAGUUGUAGUAUUGGAAGCAUAAGCACGUGUUUGACAUACCGAACAAUACAUUUCUAGCGGUUUUCUUUUCUUCCUCAUAUGAUGUGAUUAAUUACUUUAUUUUUCUAAAUUAUUUUUGAAUUUCUAACUAGCUAUUUAUACUCCUAUCUUAUUAGGCUACCACUAGUUCAAGUUCUUAAUUAUAGAAAUUUCAUGUUUUUUUGAUAAUGUGCAAAUUUUUGUACCGCUGCUAUUGUUAGAGUGUACAUAAAUGUACACCUGAUAUUGUUAACGUGUACAUAAAUGUACACUUGUUGAUUUUAAUGUGUAUAUAGUUGUGCAUAUUUUAAUUGGUAAUGUUUUUGAAUUUUUAACUCGCACACAGUGGUACACAUAAUUCUUAACGUGCACAUAACUGUACAUAUGUUGUACAUGUGUUUGGUUUGUGUUGUGCAUGUUUUACAGGGGUGUACAUAUUGGUGCACCUGUGUAAAUCUUAUGAAAAAGUACAAUUCCCUUGUUUUACAAUGGUGUACAUAUUGGUGCACUUGUGGGAAGUAACUCCCAUGAAAAAAUAGGUUUGUGUGCGGUUGUGAAUGAUUAGCUUUAUGCAUGUUUUGAAGAGGUGUACGUAUUGGUGCACCUCUAUAAUUCCCAUAUAAAAGUAGGUUUGUGUGUGGUUAUGAAUGAUCGUUUUUCUGCAUAUUUUGCAGGGGUGUACACAUUGGUGCACCUCUGCAAUUCCCAUGAAAAAGUGUGCCAGAGUGUGAAUAUGAAUGAUCGAUUUUAUGCAUGUUUUACAGGGGUGUACACAUUGGUGCACAAGUGUAUUUUCAAUGAAAAGUAGGUUUGUUUGUGGCUAUGAAUGAUCGGCUUUAGGAAUGUUUCACAGGGAUGAAUAUAUUGAUGCACCAAUAUACUUCUCAUGAAAAAGUAGGUCUGGGUGUGAGCAUGAUUGAUUGAUCUGUUAUGCAUGUUAGUAAUCUCGUUUUUGGUAAAGUGCAAUGAAUCACUGUACUGGGAUGUUUCGAAGCCAUAUUAAAUUUUUGUAGUAAUGCCCGCAUGGAUUGUGUCUCUGACCAUAAACUGAGUAAGUUUUUAUUUUGAUCGUUUUCUUGUUUUGUUUUCUUGUGUGGAUGUUGGUGAAAGGAUAAUCAUUUUCUUUUCAAGCUGCGAUUUCUUAUGUUCAUUGGUUUGUCCUCGAUGCAGGUUAUCUGCUAAACUUACCUCUGCAAAUCUGGAUGUUAUCCAACUGGAGCUUGGCGUGGUUGGUAUUUUUCUCAGUCUGUGCAGAUUAGGGUGGUAGUUUGGCUAUCAUAGAUUCUGGAUUUUUUGGAUCUUUGCAGCGGUGUACAUAAUUGUACACACCAAUGUAAAUUUAAAAAAUGAAAAUUAUAUAGCCAUAUGGGUACUCUUUUUGUAGCUCUCGGAAAGAGAUUUCCGAAUAUAUAAAUUUUGCGAAUUUUGGACAAACGUUUCAAAAGAUAACUUGAUUUUAGUUUAUUUUUUUAUUAUUUAAAAUUGCU